rnacentral:rRNA from 1 species
GACGAACGCUGGCGGCGUGCUUAGCACAUGCAAGUCGAACGGUAAGGCCCUUCGGGGUACACAAGUGGCGAACGGGUGAGUAACACGUGGGUGAUCUGCCCUGCACUUCGGGAUAAGACUGGGAAACUGGGUCUAAUACCGGAUAGGACCACUGCCUGCAUGGGUGGGGGUGGUAAGCUUUUGCGGGGUGGGAUGGGCCCGCGGCCUAUCAGCGUGUUGGUGGGGUGUUGGCCUACCAAGGCGACGACGGGUAGCCGGCCUGAGAGGGGGACCGGCCACACUGGGACUGAGAUACGGCCCAGACUCCUACGGGAGGCAGCAGUGGGGAAUAUUGCACAAUGGGCGCAAGCCUGAUGCAGCGACGCCGCGUGAGGGAUGACGGCCUUCGGGUUGUAAACCUCUUUCAGCACCGACGAAGCGCAAGUGACGGUAGGUGCAGAAGAAGGACCGGCCAACUACGUGCCAGCCGCCGCCGUAA